UACCUGGUUGAUCCUGCCAGUAGUCAUAUGCUUGUCUCAAAGAUUAAGCCAUGCAAGUCUAAGUACGAGCUCUCGUACAGUGAAACUGCGAAUGGCUCAUUAAAUCAGUUAUGGUUCAUUUGAUCGUACAGUUUACUUGGAUAACUGUGGUAAUUCUAGAGCUAAUACAUGCGAGAAGCGCCGACCUCGCGGGAGGCGUGCAUUUAUCAGACCAAAAACCGGCCGCGUCUUCGGGCGCGUUCGCCUUGGUGACUCUGGAUAACUUUGCGGAUCGCACGGUCUAGCACCGGCGACGGAUCAUUCAAGUGUCUGCCCUAUCAACUUUCGUCGGUACGGUAUUUGCCUACCGAGGUUCUUACGGGUGACGGGGAAUCAGGGUUCGAUUCCGGAGAGGGAGCCUGAGAAACGGCUACCACAUCCAAGGAAAGCAGCAGGCGCGCAAAUUACCCAUUCCCGACGCGGGGAGGUAGUGACGAAAAAUAACAAUGCAGGACUCGUUUCGAGGCCCCUGUAAUUGGAAUGAGUACACUUUAAAAAGGUUUAACGAGUUUUCAUUGGAGGGCAAGUCUGGUGCCCGACGCCGCGGGUAUCCCCGCUUCCAAAGUAUAUAUUUAAAGUUGUUGCGGUUAAAAAGC
rnacentral:ncRNA from 1 species